rnacentral:rRNA from 1 species
CCUACGGGGGGCAGCAGUGGGGAAUAUUGGGCAAUGGGCGCAAGCCUGACCCAGCAACGCCGCGUGAAGGAAGGAGGCUUUCGGGUUGUAAACUUCUUUUCUCAGGGACGAAGCAAGUGACGGUACCUGAGGAAGACGCCACGGCUAACUACGUGCCAGCAGCCGCGGUAAUACGUAGGUGGCAAGCGUUAUCCGGAUUUACUGGGUGUAAAGGGCGAGUAGGCGGGACUGCAAGUCAGAUGUGAAAGCCACGGGCUCAACCCGUGGACUGCAUUUGAAACUGUAGUUCUUGAGUACAGGAGAGGCAGGCGGAAUUCCUAGUGUAGCGGUGAAAUGCGUAGAGAUUAGGAGGAACACCAGUGGCGAAGGCGGUCUGCUGGACAGCAACUGACGCUGAGGCGCGAAAGCGUGGGGAGCAAACAGGAUUAGAUACCCGUGUAGUC